rnacentral:rRNA from 1 species
UACGUAGGGCGCAAGCGUUGUCCGGAAUUAUUGGGCGUAAAGAGCUCGUAGGCGGUCUGUCGCGUCUGCUGUGAAAUCCCGAGGCUCAACCUCGGGCUUGCAGUGGGUACGGGCAGACUAGAGUGCGGUAGGGGAGAAUGGAAUUCCUGGUGUAGCGGUGGAAUGCGCAGAUAUCAGGAGGAACACCGAUGGCGAAGGCAGUUCUCUGGGCCGUAACUGACGCUGAGGAGCGAAAGCGUGGGGAGCGAACAGGAUUAGAUACCC